rnacentral:miRNA from 1 species
GUCAAUUCGUUUAAGCUCAA